AAAUGAUAUGACAUACAUCUUGUGUUUCUUCUAUUCAAUGUCACAAAAUUUGAGACAAAAAAUUUGAAACUCCUAACAUUAACAGAGGAAAAAAAUAGACAAUGCAUAUGAAUCACGUCGGCGAUGCCAGAAAUACGAGGUAUUUAUUUAUUUAACUUUGAGAAUUACAAUAGUACAGUCUUCUCAACUACCGUAAUAUCUAGGUAUCAAGCAGAUUCAUGUAUAUCAUCAUCCAAUUCCUUUCCCUCAACUACUGUAAUAUCUAGGUUUCAAGCAGAUUCAUGUAUAUCAUCAUCCAAUUCCUUUCCUUGCGUCUCGAAUGGAAAUAAUACAACACUAAGUCCCGAAAGAAUUAUCAUAAAUUCAAACACUAAAACUGCAAACAUUUGAUUGCAAUCACCUGCUAACCCAACAG
rnacentral:lncRNA from 1 species